AAUAUUGUACAAUGAGGGCAACCCUGAUCCAGCCAUCCGGCUUGUGUGAAGAAGGCCUUCGGAUUGUAAAGCACUUUAAUUUGGGAGGAAGGGCUUUAGGUUAAUACACUUAAGUUGUGACGUUAGCAACAGAUUAAGCACACUCUAACUCUGCACCAGCAGCCGCGGUAAUACAGAGGGUGCAAGCAGUCAUCGGAAUUACUGGGCGUAAAACGGGCGUAGUUGGUUCAGUAAGAUGGGUGUGAAAUACCCGGGCUUAACCUGGGAACUGCUUUCAUAACUGCUGAGCUAGAGUACGGUAGAGGGUAGUGGAAUUUCCUGUGUAGCGGUGAAAUGCGUAGAUAUAGGAAGGAACACCAGUGGCGAAGGCGACUACCUGGACUGAUACUGACACUGAGGUGCGAAAGCGUGGGGAGCAAAC
rnacentral:rRNA from 1 species